rnacentral:lncRNA from 1 species
GGUGUGACUUCAAGCCAAAUCUAUAAAGAACACUGGUGCUGGAAUAGUUUUAGAGGUGUCAAGGCAAGCCGGGAGAUGAAGACUCAAUUCACAUCCUCUCAAGCCAAAGAAUGUGGAUAAUGUACUUCGAAGCCACGGCAAAAGAGAUCAUCGGAGUAGGUAGUAUGAUAAGAACUCCUCAACUACUAUGAAAAUGUACUACUGCUUAAAGGAAUCAACAUAAUCUUCUAAGUAUUAGUCCAACUAUGUGACAAAAGAUGCAAGAUUGUACUUGAAUCCUCUAAAUGUGAGGUAAUAGACAUUAAAAUACAAAAACAAUUCUCAUGGUCAUAGCAAGGACAAAAUUUAAAUAUUGAUUUAAAUGAUAUCUCUUGAACACUCGAAUGCCUUGCGCUAUGAAUAUGAUGAAAUGGUUGUGCAUAAACGACUUGGCCAUAUAGAAGAGCACUUUAAAAAGGUUCUAAAAAGAUUAGUAAAGGACUUCUAAAAAAUUAAAUGAAAAGGACAAAAUUUGUGAUACUUGUCAAAUGGGGAAGCAAAUAAGAAUUUCUUUAAAUUCACAAAUAUGCUUAAUACUACUAGGCCACUCUAAGUAUUGCAUAUGGAUUUAUUUGGACCAUCAAACACUUUAAGUCUUGAUGGAAAACAAUAUGCACUUGUUAUGGUUGAUGACUACUCGAGAUUCACAUGAACAUACUUCUUAACUCAUAAGGAUGAAAUAAUUGAUUUUUUCACGAAAUUUUGUAGAAAAAUUCAAAAUGAAAAAGGAUAUUCAAUUACGUUAAUUAGAACCGAUCAUAGAGGGAAAUUUGAUUGCAAACUAUUUGAAAUUUUUUGUGAUUGGUGAAAACGGUUUAGACAUAAGUUUUCGGUCCUAGAAUACCUCUCAAAUGGGAUUUUGAAAGGAAAAAUAGAGUUUUACCAAAUAAUGCGAAAAAACGAUGCUUUGUGAUGAAAAUGUUUACCAAAAUAUUUUGGGCCACAGCGGUCAAUACUUAUUGCUAUGUUUUUUAAAUCGAGUUUCUGAUUUUUAGAAAACUAUUGAAAAAAUCUAUAUGAGCAUUUAGAAUACGAAAAGCCAAAUGUUUCAAUACUUUAGAAUUUUUGGAUUGCAAAUGACUUUGUUUUGAAUAACAUAAAGAUAAUUUGAAAUUUGAAUGAGCACCCAAAGCCGAUGCAGGCAUAUUUCUCGGAUUCACUCAUUCAUAGUUUAAAGUAUAUAGGAGUUCAAUAAGCGAACUCUGUAGCGAAGAAUUGGUCCAGUCAGUUUUUGAUAAACAUAACCCCAAUCUAGAAAGAUCAUAAGUGAUGAUGUGGAUGAAAUUGAGUAAACCCUAGAAAAGUUCGAUAUACAACCAAAACUCAACGGAUGAUUACACACAAGUAGGAUGAGGCACAAGAAAAAUCAAUUAGACAAACAAAAUAUUGAUGAAUGGUUACCUAGGGAAGGUAAGUUUGGCACAUAUCAUCCUACCCCACAAACCUAGGUGAUCCUUCGACAAAGGGUAAGAUACGUUCUCUCUUAGAAAUAUUUAUAAUCACUUGCAUUCACUAUCUCAAAUAGAACCAAAACGUUUUGAAGAUGCCAAAAAUAAUAAAUUUUGGAUAAACGCAAUGCAAGAGGAACUUAACCAAUUUGAAAGAAAUAAGGAAUGACACCUUGUUUCUAGACCUAGAGAUCACCCGGUUAUUGGAACUAAAUGGGUAUUUAGGAAUAAAAUGGAUGAAUCCGGCGUUGUUAUAAGGAACAAGCCUAGACUUGUUGCUCAAGGAUAUAGUCAAAAAGAGGGUAUAGAUUUUGAUGAAAUAUUCGCACCGGUAGCUAAAUUAGAAGCCAAUAGGAUGCUACUUGUAUUUGCAUGUUUUAAAGACUUUAAACUUUCAAAUGAACGUUAAAAGUGAUUUUCUAAAUAGCUACAUAAACGAAGAAGUAUAUGUUGAGCAACCUCUCGGUUUUGAAAAUCAAAAAUUUUCAACUCAUGUUUUCAAACUAACAAAAGUUUUAUAUGAUUUAAAACAAGCCCGGAGGGCUUUGUAUGAAUGAUUGAGCAAAUUUUUGAUUGAUAAAGGGUUUUCAAGAGAAAAAAUUGAUAUUACUCUCUUCAUAAAAAUUGAAAAUAAUUACAUGCUCCUAGCACAGAUUUAUGUUGAUCAUAUUAUUUUCGAUGCUACUAAAUAAUCUCUCUGUAAAGAAUUUGCUAAGUGUAUGUAGGGAGAAUUUAAAAUGAGCAUGAUGGGAGAGCUAAAUUACUUCCUUGGACUUCAAAUAAAGCAAAUGAAGGAAGACAUUUUUAUCAACCAAGCCAAAUACAUCAAAAAAUUGAUCAAAAAAUUUGGCAUGGAGGAGGCAAAGCUCACAUGUACUCUAAUGAGUACUUUAACCAAAUUGGAUAGCGGAAAAGGAGGUAAUCGAUUGACCUUAAACUCUAUGGAAGCAUGAUAGGAUUUUUGCUAUAUUUGACUGCUAGUAGACCCGAUAUUAUGUUUAGUGUGUACUUGU